rnacentral:rRNA from 1 species
AGCAGCCGCCACGGUAAUACGUAGGUGGCAAGCGUUGUCCGGAAUUAUUGGGCGUAAAGGGCUCGCAGGCGGUUUCUUAAGUCUGAUGUGAAAGCCCCCGGCUCAACCGGGGAGGGUCAUUGGAAACUGGGAAGCUUGAGUGCAGAAGAGGAGAGUGGAAUUCCACGUGUAGCGGUGAAAUGCGUAGAGAUGUGGAGGAACACCAGUGGCGAAGGCGACUCUCUGGUCUGUAACUGACGCUGAGGAGCGAAAGCGUGGGGAGCGAACAGGAUUAGAUACCCCUGUAGUCCCUGUCUCUUAUAC